ACGUGGGUAAUCUGCCCUGCACUCUGGGAUAAGCCUGGGAAACUGGGUCUAAUACUGGAUAUGACCUUUCUCCUUAUGGGGUUUGGUGGAAAGUUUUUCGGUGUAUGAUGAGCCCGCGGCCUAUCAGCUUGUUGGUGGGGUGAUGGCCUACCAAAGCGACGACGGGUAGCCGGCCUGAGAGGGUGAUCGGCCACAUUGGGACUGAGAUACGGCCCAGACUCCUACGGGAGGCAGCAGUGGGGAAUAUUGCACAAUGGGCGGAAGCCUGAUGCUGCGACGCCUCGUGAGGGAUGACGGCCUUCGGGUUGUAAACCUCUUUCAGCAGGGGCGACAGCGUAUGUGACGGUUCCUGCAGAAGAAGCACCGGGUAACUACGUGCCCGCGGACGCGGUAAUACGUAAGGUGCGAGCGUUGUCCGGAAUUACUGGGCGUAAAGAGCUCGUAGGCGGUUGGUCACGUCGUCUGUGAAAUCCUAGGGCUGAACCCUGGACGUGCAGGCGAUACGGCGUGACUUGAGUACUACAGGGGAGACUGGAAUUUCUGGUGGUAGCGGUGGAAUGCACAGAUAUCAGGAAGAACACCGAUGGCGAAGGCAGGUCUCUGGGUAGUAACUGACGCUGAGGAGCGAAAGCAUGGGUAGCGAACAGGAUUAGAUACCCUGGUAGUCCAUGCCGUAAACGGUGGGCGCUAGGUGUGGGGUUCCUUCCACGGGCUCCGCGCCGUAGCUAACGCAUUAAGCGCCCCGCCUGGGGAGUACGGCCGCAAGGCUAAAACUCAAAGAAAUUGACGGGGGCCCGCACAAGCGGCGGAGCACUGUGGGAUUAAUUCGAUGCAACGCGAAGAACCUUACCUGGGCUUGACA
rnacentral:rRNA from 1 species